CUUCAGAUGCUGCUGCUUCCAGGUGGGCAUGGAGUAGAACUCUACCCGGGACACACCCAGGAUCAGAGCAAAGUCAUCAUUGGACAGAUACUCCUGGAAAAGAUCGAGGUGACGUGAGUGGGCUUGAGAGAGAUUAGAGACUCACCACGGUGAUCUGGAUGAUGUCGGUGGCGUCCCCAAGCUCAGCCUUCAACUCCUGGUGCUGCUUCAUCAGCUUCAUGGCCUCCUCGGAAGACUUCUCAUCGUCACCUUCCACCACGCUAACCUGCGCCCGUCCCCCUCUUUCCCUGUCACGGAUGUCCUUGGCUAGAGUCAUCCCCUGUAAAGAACAACAACUGCUACAACAUCAGCCUUACAGAACGGUCAACUUUCACGAUUUUUCUACCCCACUGAGCCAUUGGAACCACAAUCCAGUCUUCAUUUUAUGCUUUUAAAUUCUGUAAGCGCUAGGUUUAUAGGCAGAGGUCUUUCUACUUAGGGGUCUUGUUUGAAUGCUUAAAAAAUAUACCCUUUCUCACUUCUCUUCCUCGUGGUUAUCACUGAUCUUGUAAAGGAGUGCAUAACUGGCUGCAGGGAAGUCAGGCGCAGGAGAGCAGAAAUGGUUAGCAAACGGAGCCCUUUAUUGGGGCGAACAAAACACGGCACUCAGAAAACUAAAUACACACGGGUUACAAUAACCCGGCGCAAACCAGCCUGGAGUACACAUACAUUUACACAUUACAAUUCCACACAGACAUGGG